GGGUCCGUGAGGGCCCGGCCCGGUGAGCGCCGCCCUCCCGGGACACCGCGGGGUUCGGGGCAGCUUUUACCGUGUUUCAGCUCGUUCCUGCCGCCGUGGCUCGGCAGGUUUCGGGUGUGGAUCCCUUCUCCCGGCAGGUUUCGGGUGUGGAUCCCUUCUCCCGGCUGUCCGUGCAGGGACGGCGCCCAUGGAUCCGCGGUGUCUGGGAGCGGCAGGGAUCGUUCAAGGUGUGCUCCUCCCUCUGGCCCCACUGCCCGCUAAAGAACAGCAAAACAUCUCCUUGGCAGUUAGAUUUGUUUCCUCUCACCAUUUUUCCAUUGCUCAGCGCAGGAGCAGAGGCAGCAGCCCAGGCUGCCCUCGCUGACCAACGCCAGCCUGGCUAAGCCAGCCAGAUAAGCCAGGCUUAUUUCUGUGCCAGCAGCUGACUGAACUCCCGAGGAGCAGAGUCUGUCCAGCUCCUGCCUUCCCUCAGCCCGAGCACAGCUGCGGAUCUCAGGCCGUGGAGCGGCUGGAGGAGGAGCUGAGCCGUUCCUCUGCUGCGGGAUCCCCGCGGAACGGCUGCUGCGGGAGCUCCGGGAUCCAUCCGCUCCCCGAGGCCGCGGCAGCGCGGGGCCCGGGGCCGGAGCGCGCCGCAGAGCCACAGGGAAGCUGUGCUGCGGUGUUUAAGGAACUCGGUGGUGCCUUGGAGCGUCGGAAGGAAGCUCUGCUGAGCGCGCUGGAUGAGCUGGAGAGCCGCGGUUCGGAGAAAGACGAGCCCCUCACCGAGGAGGUGGAAAAGCUGGAGUUAGGAGCGGGUGAGUUACAGGAGCUGCACUCAGCUGUUCCGAGGGAGGAGUCCCGCUGCUCUCAGACACAACUCAGAGGUUCAUCCGAGGAUGGAGGAGGUGCUGCAGCACGUGUGGCCCGAGGCCGAGAGCGGGCGGGCGCACAAGAUCCGCGCUGCAAAGCUGUGCCUGGCUCCCGGGAGCCCUGCAGAGCCCGGAGCAGCUCCGUGCUGACCCUGCUCGUACUCGUGUCGCUGGCACUCGGGGACAUCUCACGGGUACCGUCCCUGCUCCUCCUGGAGCUCUGGGAACACCUGCAGCCAGAGCCGUGCCACACCUCUGGAGCCGUGCAGGAGAGUUCUUCCUGACUGCUUCCAGUAGAUUGCAAACACCCAGUGCAGCGAUCCAGCAUUGUUUCCAAUUUGUACUUAAAAGCCGGGCUGUUGACGCCCUACACUUGGUGUGUUUCUGUAUCCUUCCUUCUCUGUAUUGCACAGAUCUCCGCUGAACUAAAGUUCUGACCCACUGAAGGUGAGGAGAGGUUGAAGAUUUUCUUCCAGCUUUUCUUGGGAGGCCGGACACUGGAACAGAGCAAGGGUUGGGUCUGUCAGGAAUUCUGAUCUUGGCCUGGGCUCAGGGGAACACGGG